rnacentral:rRNA from 1 species
GAUGAACGCUGGCGGCGUGCUUAACACAUGCAAGUCGAACGGUAACAGGUUAAGCUGACGAGUGGCGAACGGGUGAGUAAUGCAUCGGAACGUGCCCGGUCGUGGGGGAUAACGCAGCGAAAGCUGCGCUAAUACCGCAUACGAUCUGAGGAUGAAAGCGGGGGACCGUAAGGCCUCGCGCGAUCGGAGCGGCCGAUGUCAGAUUAGGUAGUUGGUGGGGUAAAGGCUCACCAAGCCGACGAUCUGUAGCUGGUCUGAGAGGACGACCAGCCACACUGGGACUGAGACACGGCCCAGACUCCUACGGGAGGCAGCAGUGGGGAAUUUUGGACAAUGGGCGCAAGCCUGAUCCAGCAAUGCCGCGUGCAGGAAGAAGGCCUUCGGGUUGUAAACUGCUUUUGUACGGAGCGAAAAGGCUCUCUCUAAUACAGGGGGCUCAUGACGGUACCGUAAGAAUAAGCACCGGCUAACUACGUGCCAGCCGCCGCAGUAA